UACGUAGGGGGCUAGCGUUGUCCGGAAUCAUUGGGCGUAAAGAGCGUGUAGGCGGCCCGGUAAGUCCGCUGUAAAAGUCAAAGGCUCAACCUUUGAAUGUCAGUGGAUACUGCCGGGCUAGAGUCCGGAAGAGGCGAGUGGAACUCCUGGUGUAGCGGUGGGAAUGCGCAGAUAUCAGGAGGAACAGCCAGCGGCGAAGGCGGCGCUCUGGGCCGGAACUGACGCUGAGGAGCGAAAGCGUGGGAGCGAACAGG
rnacentral:rRNA from 1 species